NNAAAUUAAAUGAAGUAUUCCAGAUACAAAGUAUGGAAAGGUGUCUAUAACUUUCCCCCAGGACCUACCUCCCAACCUAGAGUAGCUAGAUGGGGAGUCAAAUUAAUCCUUGUUCAUACUUAGGCUUCUCUGGUAAGAAAUGAGCCACUUCAAAUAGGUUCAUUGCUCCGACCCGAAAUACGAUUAACCCAGCGUGGGCUACAUGAGCUCUUAGUAGUUUAUCGGAUAAAUUAAUAAGUUGACCAUUCUUGGCCAACCAAGCAAAAUCGAUGGUUUCUUGGUCACGACCAGUUACAACUAAAGUUCCAUUAAAGAGCGUUUCCACACGGUAGAACCUCCUCAGGGAAUAUAAGGUUUUCAUGAUGCUGAUCUUGAGCUGCCAUCCAAGCACGAAUACCUUCAUUUAAUAUAAUCUUUUUGGUGUAGAAAGUCUCAAAUUCAGGAUCUUCUGCUACACAAAUUUCUUGAGAAACAAAGUUACGGGCACAUAGGUUUAGGGCCAGACCGACUACUCCAAGAGNNCUCAUCCAUAAACCUGUUACUAGUACAAAUAACAUAAAGAAAUGUAAUCAACAUUUAUUAGAAAAAGCAACCCCAAAGAUUUGGGACCAAAAGUGGUUAGCGUAAAAUUUAAUAAGUUUCUUCAGCUUAAGUUAGGUUAAAAACAUGAAAUGUAUUUGCACCAUCACCAUCUUCAAAUAAAGUCUUUUCUAUGGUAGUACCAUGAAUAGCACAUAGCAAAGCAGCACACAAUAUACUGGCAACUCCCAUCAUAUAUAAUGGGUUUAGCGUCCAAUUAUGAAAUCCUUGAAAAAAGAGGAUGAAUCAAAAUAUAGCUGCUAUACCAAAAUUAGGUGCAAGGAACCAACCAGACUGACCUGGUGGAUAAAUCAGGAAUACAAAAAUAAAAAUAGCAAUUGGACUAGAGGAUGCGAUUGCAUUAUAAGGUCACAACUGAACAGAUCGAGCAAGCUCAAAUUGAUGUAAUAUGAAACCUAUUAGUCCGAAAGCGCCAAGGAGGGCAACAAAAGUCCACAAAUCGUCUAAUUGACACCAACGAAUAAAAUCUCCUUGUGCUUCAGAACCCCACAAUAAUAAUAAAGAAUGCGCUAAACUAUUAGUAGGAGUAGAAAUUAUAGCCGUUAAGAAAUUACAGCCUUCCAAAUAGGAAUUGGCCAAUCCAUGGGUAUACCAUGAAGUUACAAAGGUUGUACCUGUGAACCAACCCCCUACAGCGAAAUAGGCACAAGGAAAGAGCAAUAGACCGGACCAGCCUACAAAAACGAAACGGUCCCUCCGUAACCAGUCAUCCAUAAUAUCAAAUAAAUCAUUUUCGUCUUUGGUAAAUUUACCAAGGGUUAUAGUUAUAGUGAUCCUCCUAUUCAACUACUUUGACCAUUUUCGAGCACCUCAUAGUAUUUUCGCGACGUCUGAAGAUUCGAUCAUUUCUCUAUGAUUUCUCUUGCACUGCCCCUUCCAAUGGGUUUCAAAGAUCAAAAUCCUUUAUUGGCCUAUAAACUAACCUAGGGAAAUCCAUGAACUCAAUUUGAUUAUUCUUUAUUACUAAGCAUAUGAACCAUGAAUUGUCUUCUUAUGAUUUAUCAAUCAGAUAGAUGAAUCCUUUGAAAGAACUUUUCAAGGAACAAGCGAUCCCCUCUCUCACUACUAACUGAUCCUCCGACCUACCCCCCUCUUGUUCGAUUAACUAAUGUUAUUCUUAGAUCUUGUUCGUGAGAUUUUUCAAAAUAAAGAGAUUUAUAGAUUAUUCUAAUUUCUAUGUAUACUAAACUAUUACAAUUACAUUAUUUUAUUAAUUUCUUUUUUCAUUUUCUUUGAGUGUCUUCUUUGUUAUAUCUCCUUUU
rnacentral:lncRNA from 1 species